rnacentral:rRNA from 1 species
CCUACGGGUGGCAGCAGUGAGGAAUAUUGGUCAAUGGGCGCGAGCCUGAACCAGCCAAGUAGCGUGAAGGAUGACUGCCCUACGGGUUGUAAACUUCUUUUAUAAAGGAAUAAAGUGAGGCACGUGUGCCUUUUUGUAUGUACUUUAUGAAUAAGGAUCGGCUAACUCCGUGCCAGCAGCCGCGGUAAUACGGAGGAUCCGAGCGUUAUCCGGAUUUCUUGGGUUUAAAGGGAGCGUAGAUGGGUUGUUAAGUCAGUUGUGAAAGUUUGCGGCUCAACCGUAAAAUUGCAAUUGAUACUGGCAGCCUUAGGAACGGUGAAGGAAGGGGAAAUUGGGGGUGUGGCGGUAAAAUGCUUGAAAAUCACAAGAAACUCCGUU